rnacentral:misc_RNA from 1 species
AAGUGAAGGCCCCCCACAGUGGGAUCUACUUGCAAAAAAACCCUCAGGCAGCUUUGUGUACAAUUGUGCUGUGAUGGGAUGCUGAAGAGUUGGAUUAUGGGUUCACCAUGUGAGCUAUGAUGGUGCAUCAUGCUAGGGGGAUGUACAAGAUUUGUUUAUCUCCAACACAGGUGUCUUUCUAAUGGUAAUUCCCCCUUAUUUCUUUUUUUCAUAUCUUUUCCCUUUUG